rnacentral:rRNA from 1 species
AACGAACGCUGGCGGCAUGCCUAACACAUGCAAGUCGAACGAGACCUUCGGGUCUAGUGGCGCACGGGUGCGUAACGCGUGGGAACCUUCCCUUAGGUUCGGAAUAACUCCCCGAAAGGGGUGCUAAUACCGGAUAAUGUCUUCGGACCAAAGAUUUAUCGCCUUUGGAUGGGCCCGCGUUGGAUUAGCUAUUUGGUAGGGUAAAAGCCUACCAAGGCGACGAUCCAUAGCUGGUCUGAGAGGAUGGUCAGCCACACUGGGACUGAGACACGGCCCAGACUCCUACGGGAGGCAGCAGUGGGGAAUAUUGGACAAUGGGCGAAAGCCUGAUCCAGCAAUGCCGCGUGAGUGAUGAAGGCCUUAGGGUUGUAAAGCUCUUUUACCCGGGAUGAUAAUGACAGUACCGGGAGAAUAAGCUCCGGCUAACUCCGUG